AAGACUAAGCCAUGCAUGUCUAAGUAUAAACAACUAUACAGUGAAACUGCGAACGGCUCAUUAAAUCAGUUAUCGUUUAUUUGAUAGUUUUCUACAUGGAUAACCGUGAUAACUUCAGAACUAAUACAUGACAGCCUUCUGGCGUAUAUAUUAGAUACAAACCAACACUAUGGUGAUUCAUAAUAUCUUGUCGAACCGAUCUUCGGUGUAUCAUUCAAAUUUCU
rnacentral:rRNA from 1 species